CAGUAGCCACGGUAAUACGAAGGGGGCUAGCGUUGCUCGGAAUCACUGGGCGUAAAGGGUGCGUAGGCGGGUCUUUAAGUCAGGAGUGAAAUCCUGGAGCUCAACUCCAGAACUGCCUUUGAUACUGAAGAUCUUGAGUUCGGGAGAGGUGAGUGGAAUUUCCGGUGUAGCGGUGAAAUGCGUAGAUAUCGGAAGGAACACCUGUGGCGAAAGCGGCUCACUGGACCAUUUCUGACGCUGAUGCACGAAAGCUAGGGGAGCAAACAGGAUUAGAUACCCGGGUAGUCCCUGUCUCUUAUAC
rnacentral:rRNA from 1 species